rnacentral:rRNA from 1 species
AUUGAACGCUGGCGGCAGGCUUAACACAUGCAAGUCGAACGAGUGGCGGACGGGUGAGUAAUGCUUGGGAAUCUAGCUUAUGGAGGGGGAUAACUACGGGAAACUGUAGCUAAUACCGCGUACCCUAGGAUGAGCCCAAGUGGGAUUAGGUAGUGGGUGCGGUAAAGGCUCACCAAGCCGACGAUCGCUAGCUGGUCUGAGAGGAUGACCAUCCACACCUGGACUGAGACACGGCCCAGACUCCUACGGGAGGCAGCAGUGGGGAAUAUUGCGCAAUGGGGGCAACCUGACGCAGCCAUGCCGCGGGAAUGAAGAAGGCCUUCGGGUUGUAAAGUUCGUUCGGUAGCGAGGCGUUAACUACAGAAGAAGCACCGGCUAACUCCGUGCCAGCAGCCGCGGUAAUAC